GGCCUUUUGGUGCUUAUGAUGGGCUUUAUUAUCACACUGACUAUUCUAUACAGAAAGAGAAAAUGCACUAAAUCUACCCUCAAUAUACCUCAGUCCAGGCCUGAUGCCCAGCCUGUAUUAUGAAAGGGGAUAAUGG
ensembl:snoRNA